GACGAACGCUGGCGGCGCGCUUAACACAUGCAAGUCGAACGGAAAGGCCUGCUUUCCCUUGUGGAUUGCGGGUACUCGAGUGGCGAACGGGUGAGUAACACGUGAGUGAUCUGCCCCCAACUUGGGUAUAAGCCUGGGAAACUGGGUCUAAUUCCCGAUAGGACUGCAGGGUGGUGCCUGUGGUGGAAAACGAUUUUCUAGUGGUUGGGGAUGAGCUCGCGGCCUAUCAGCUUGUUGGUGGGGUAAUGGCCCACUAAGGCGGCGACGGGUAGCCGGCCUGAGAGGGUGGACGGCCACAUUGGGACUGAGAUACGGCCCAGACUCCUACGGGAGGCAGCAGUGGGGAAUAUUACACAAUGGGCGGAAGCCUGAUGCAGCGACGCCGCGUGGGGGAUGACGGCCUUCGGGUUGUAAACUCCUUUCGACCGCGAGGAAGCCACCUGGUUGGAAGGGUGGUGACGGUAGUGGUAGAAGAAGCACCGGCUAACUACGUG
rnacentral:rRNA from 1 species